rnacentral:pre_miRNA from 9 species
UGGAAGAAUCUAAUAAGCUCAGGAGGGAUAGCGCCAUGGAUGGAUAUGUGUUUUUAUGAAUAUGACUCGUCUUUUCUUGGCUUGCUUUUUUUAUCUCUUCUAUAGCGCUAUCCAUCCUGAGUUUCAUUGGUUCUUCUU